rnacentral:rRNA from 1 species
GAUGAACGCUGGCGGUGUGCCUAAUACAUGCAAGUCGAGCGAACAGACGAGGAGCUUACUCCUCUGACGUUAGCGGCGGACGGGUGAGUAACGCGUGGAUAACCUACCUAUAAGACUGGGAUAACUUCGGGAAACCGGAGCUAAUACCGGAUAACAUGUUGAACCGCAUGGUUCAACAGUGAAAGACGGUCUUGCUGUCACUUAUAGAUGGAUCCGCGUCGCAUUAGCUAGUUGGUAAGGUAACGGCUUACCAAGGCAACGAUGCGUAGCCGACCUGAGAGGGUGAUCGGCCACACUGGAACUGAGACACGGUCCAGACUCCUACGGGAGGCAGCAGUAGGGAAUCUUCCGCAAUGGGCGAAAGCCUGACGGAGCAACGCCGCGUGAGUGAAGAAGGUCUUCGGAUCGUAAAACUCUGUUAUUAGGGAAGAACAAAUGUGUAAGUAACUAUGCACGUCUCGACGGUACCUAAUCAGAAAGCCACGGCUAACUACGUG